rnacentral:rRNA from 1 species
ACGCUCGACACCUACGGAGGCAGCAGUGGGGAAUAUUGCACAAUGGGGGAAACCCUGAUGCAGCGACGCCGCGUGAGCGAAGAAGUAUUUCGGUAUGUAAAGCUCUAUCAGCAGGGAAGAAAGUGACGGUACCUGACUAAGAAGCCCCGGCUAACUACGUGUCAGCAGCCGCGGUAAUCUGAGCGGGCUGGCAAGGC